CCUCCCUUAUUCUCUGCAUCCCACUUCAACCUAUCAGUCUCUCAGUAACCCGACGACACACAGCAUGGAGCUCUGUCUUCUGCUAGUGUUGAGCUUGUGUUCCCACUCUGGAUGUGCUGCAGUGGAUAACACUCAAGAUGCAGCACUGCACCCAGUUACCUCUGAAGACGGCGAACAUGCCGUGUCUCCAGAAAACACUGAAGAUGGUCGAAAUGAGCCUCCCAACACCUCAGUCAC